rnacentral:rRNA from 1 species
UGGGGAAUCUUGCGCAAUGCGCGAAAGCGUGACGCAGCAACGCCGCGUGGGGGAAGAAGGCUUUCGGGUUGUAAACCCCUUUCAGUUGGGACGAAGCCUCAUCGGUUAAUAGCCGCGUGGGGUGACGGUACCUUCACAAGAAGCACCGGCUAACUACGUGCCAGCAGCCGCGGUAAUACGUAGGGUGCAAGCGUUGUCCGGAAUUAUUGGGCGUAAAGAGCGUGUAGGCGGCUUGAUAAGUCUGCUGUGAAAGUCCAGGGCUCAACCCUGGAAUGCCGGUGGAUACUGUCAAGCUAGAGUCCGGAAGGGGCGAGUGGAAUUCCUGGUGUAGCGGUGAAAUGCGCAGAUAUCAGGAGGAACACCAAUGGCGAAGGCAGCUCGCUGGGACGUGACUGACGCUGAGACGCGAAAGCGUGGGGAGCAAACAGGAUUAGAUACCCUGGUAGUCCACGCUGUAAACGAUGGCAACUAGAUGUGGGGGGUGUCGACUCCCCCCGUGUCGAAGCUAACGCAUUAAGUUGCCCGCCUGGNGNGUACGGCCGCAAGGCUA